rnacentral:rRNA from 1 species
UACGUAGGUGGCAAGCGUUGUCCGGAUUUACUGGGCGUAAAGAGCGCGCAGGCGGUCGUUCAAGUCGAGUGUGAAAGCCCCCGGCUCAACUGGGGAGGGUCACUCGAUACUGAUCGACUCGAAGGCAGAAGAGGGAAGCGGAAUUCCCGGUGUAGUGGUGAAAUGCGCAGAUAUCAGGAGGAACACCGGUGGCGAAGGCGGGGUCUCUGGGCAACAACUGACGCUGAGGAGCGAAAGCGUGGGGAGCGAACAGG